rnacentral:tRNA from 1 species
GCGGAUAUAGUUUACACAAAACACUAGAUUGUGAAUCUAGAGACAGAAUAUAAAAACCCUUAUCCACC